UGUGUGUUAGUGGAAGCGUCUGGAAAGGCGCGCGAUACAGGGUGACAGCCCCGUACACAAAAAUGCACAUGCUGUGAGCUCGAUGAGUAGGGCGGGACACGUGGUAUCCUGUCUGAAUAUGGGGGGACCAUCCUCCAAGGCUAAAUACUCCUGACUGACCGAUAGUGAACCAGUACCGUGAGGGAAAGGCGAAAAGAACCCCGGCGAGGGGAGUGAAAAAGAACCUGAAACCGUGUACGUACAAGCAGUGGGAGCACGCUUAGGCGUGUGACUGCGUACCUUUUGUAUAAUGGGUCAGCGACUUAUAUUCUGUAGCAAGGUUAACCGAAUAGGGGAGCCGAAGGGAAACCGAGUCUUAACUGGGCGUUAAGUUGCAGGGUAUAGACCCGAAACCCGGUGAUCUAGCCAUGGGCAGGUUGAAGGUUGGGUAACACUAACUGGAGGACCGAACCGACUAAUGUUGAAAAAUUAGCGGAUGACUUGUGGCUGGGGGUGAAAGGCCAAUCAAACCGGGAGAUAGCUGGUUCUCCCCGAAAGCUAUUUAGGUAGCGCCUCGUGAACUCAUCUCCGGGGGUAGAGCACUGUUUCGGCAAGGGGGUCAUCCCGACUUACCAACCCGAUGCAAACUGCGAAUACCGGAGAAUGUUAUCACGGGAGACACACGGCGGGUGCUAACGUCCGUCGUGAAGAGGGAAACAACCCAGACCGCCAGCUAAGGUCCCAAAGUCAUGGUUAAGUGGGAAACGAUGUGGGAAGGCCCAGACAGCCAGGAUGUUGGCUUAGAAGCAGCCAUCAUUUAAAGAAAGCGUAAUAGCUCACUGGUCGAGUCGGCCUGCGCGGAAGAUGUAACGGGGCUAAACCAUGCACCGAAGCUGCGGCAGCGACGCUUAUGCGUUGUUGGGUAGGGGAGCGUUCUGUAAGCCUGUGAAGGUGUGCUGUGAGGCAUGCUGGAGGUAUCAGAAGUGCGAAUGCUGACAUAAGUAACGAUAAAGCGGGUGAAAAGCCCGCUCGCCGGAAGACCAAGGGUUCCUGUCCAACGUUAAUCGGGGCAGGGUGAGUCGACCCCUAAGGCGAGGCCGAAAGGCGUAGUCGAUGGGAAACAGGUUAAUAUUCCUGUACUUGGUGUUACUGCGAAGGGGGGACGGAGAAGGCUAUGUUGACCGGGCGACGGUUGUCCCGGUUUAAGCGUGUAGGCUGGUUUUCCAGGCAAAUCCGGAAAAUCAAGGCUGAGGCGUGAUGACGAGGCACUACGGUGCUGAAGCAACAAAUGCCCUGCUUCCAGGAAAAGCCUCUAAGCAUCAGGUAACAUCAAAUCGUACCCCAAACCGACACAGGUGGUCAGGUAGAGAAUACCAAGGCGCUUGAGAGAACUCGGGUGAAGGAACUAGGCAAAAUGGUGCCGUAACUUCGGGAGAAGGCACGCUGAUAUGUAGGUGAAGCGACUUGCUCGUGGAGCUGAAAUCAGUCGAAGAUACCAGCUGGCUGCAACUGUUUAUUAAAAACACAGCACUGUGCAAACACGAAAGUGGACGUAUACGGUGUGACGCCUGCCCGGUGC
rnacentral:rRNA from 1 species